rnacentral:rRNA from 1 species
CCUACGGGAGGCAGCAGUGGGGAAUAUUGCGCAAUGGGGGAAACCCUGACGCAGCAACGCCGCGUGAAGGAUGAAGGCUUUCGGGUUGUAAACUUCUUUGAUCGGGGACGAAAACUGACGGUACCCGAGGAACAAGCCACGGCUAACUACGUGCCAGCAGCCGCGGUAACACGUAGGUGGCAAGCGUUGUCCGGAAUUACUGGGCGUAAAGGGCACGCAGGCGGAUAUUUAAGUCAGAUCUGUAAUCUGUAGGAUUAACCAACAGCUCGGGUCUGAAACUGGCUAUCUUGAGGAUAGGAGAGGACAGUAGAAUUCCUAGUGUAGCGGUGAAAUGCGUAGAUAUUAGGAGGAAUACCAGUGGCGAAGGCGGCUGUCUGGCCUAUCACUGACGCUGAGGUGCGAAAGCACGGGUAGCAAACAGGAUUAGAUACCCCAGUAGUC